UGUCUGGAAACCAUAGUAUUGUGGUCCCACCUGAUCCCAUCCCGAACUCAGAAGUGAAACGCAAUUGCGCCGAUGGUAGUGUGGGGUCUCCCCAUGUGAGAGUAGGUCAUUUCCAGG
rnacentral:rRNA from 1 species